rnacentral:lncRNA from 1 species
UGAGAUGACAGCACCCGCAUGUGUGUGCACGCAUGCGCGCAUGUGUGUUUGUGUGUACGCGCCAUCAUGCAAGUGCUUCUAGUGACUCUUGUUGCUGUCCUUGAAACCUGUAGUCGAUUGCUUUCCCUCAUGAAAAGUAACAGUGAUGUCCCCCAACGAACACUCCCAUCCAAUUCUGGGGUUUCUGGAGAGGGCCAUCCUCACCAAUAUCCACACACCCAAGUAUUCAUCCCUGUUGAGCUAAAUUUAAUUCCUAAUUAGGUGGUGAGCGGGGAGGGGUGUGUGCACAUGGGAGCCUUCCAUAAUGUUAAAAUCCUUCUAGAUUCUUUUUUCAUGGCCGGGCUUGUCACCCUACUCUAUGGACUGAACCACAGCCUAUCUGUUGUUCAGCAGGACACCCAGUAUGGAAGGACCAUUGAUGAGUAUCAGCUGGACCAGUGACAGAGAGCUUGAAUGGAUAAGCGUAGGCUCUGGCUGAUAAUUAUAGUCAAAGAAUGUACAUUCAAAUGAUCAAGUGCUCAUAAACUGUUGAUUCCAAGUGAA